rnacentral:rRNA from 1 species
UACAGGGGGCGCAAGCGUUGUUCGGAUUUACUGGGCGUAAAGGGCGCGUAGGCGGCCAACUAAGUCACACGUGAAAUCCCCAGGCUUAACCUGGGAACUGCGUGUGAUACUGGAUGGCUUGAGUUCGGGAGAGGGAUGCAGAAUUCCAGGUGUAGCGGUGAAAUGCGUAGAUAUCUGGAGGAACACCGGUGGCGAAGGCGGCACCCUGGACCGGCAUUGACGCUGAGGCGCGAAAGCCAGGGGAGCAAACAGG